rnacentral:lncRNA from 10 species
AGAUGGACAUCUACCAGAAGCGGUGCGAGGCCUUCGGGUAUGUACGAGGCUGUGGCCUGAGUGUGGUCACAGCACGGGAGAGUGGUCUGUGAUCACAGCUUUGCAGGUGCAGGUGCAGGAGCUGAAGCUGGGACCUUAAGCACCAUCUAAAGGUCCCUUUCUUUAGCAUUUGACUCACAAUUUCAAACUCUAGGCAUUUGGACUUAAUGGCUCAGGAUAUGUGGGCCAGGCCCAGUUUUAAGUGAGUUUCCUUGUUUUCGUGGUUGUGGCAUGGUGGCUCUCGGAGCUUCCACACACCAUCUCACGUCAGCUCGCUUUGUUCUUGAGGAAGGAGGGUUCUUGAGGGAUGGGGGCUUGCUCGGUAAAGCUAAAGGAUGUAUAGCUGCGGAGAGGUUUGAACCUCAGUUUGGUGGCCACGUCCUGUGCCCAGCCCCGCCCAGCCUGGGGAGGAGGAACAGGCUCCUGGUGAAAUGGGAGAUAGGGUUUCCAGAUGCCCCCCUUCGGCCUUGAUUGGUUACAAAUUCAGGGUCAAAGGGCACAAAGCAGGGAGGUCAAUCUGCAUGGGUGUCAGCCAGAGGGGCUCCACCUCAAAGCCUCCACCGGUGUUGCCAAACACAAGCUGCUCUGCACAGGGGCCCAGCAUUGGCUGAGGAGGCUGUGGAGGGGAGGGAGCAGGGCAGGUGCCGUGCAAGGCUUUGAGACUCAGGUCAGGCCUCCAGGACUGCGUUUUGCGGAUGAACCCAUGCCUGUGACUACACUAAGUAACAGGAUGCUUGGGGUUACCUUGCAGUAGCACAGCAUACGCAGGCCUGUGUUCCCUGAUGACUGACCUCAGAAAGGGAGAGGAGGAAGGGAGGAAAUAAUCUCUGUUGGACAGGCGAGGAAACUGAGCCACAGGGUCCUCACCCCACAGGCCUCCCCAAGGCCACAUCUAUCUGGGGACUCAGAGUACAACCCCAGCAGCACCCCCAGGACCUGUGUCCAUAACCUCGUGACUCAAGCCAGAUUCCUGAAGUCCUGGCUCCACCGCUAACUUGCUUUGUGGCGUGGGUCACGUUACUUACUCCACCUUCGGUGUCUCAGUUGAUUUGUCUGUACAAUGGGGCCAGCUCAGCACCCAAGCAUGGCGUGGUGAGGCUUCAGUGGGCUAAUAUGGGUAGUGGUUGGCAUGGCACUCAGUUUGAGAAGUGCUAUUUUUAUUCUUAUGUCAAAAAGAGUCCCCAAAAGGAUAGCUUUUCAAGAGAAAGGGUGCUCUGCCCCAGCUCCUUCCUGUAUAUUUGACUCCAUGGUUCAUUUCAAAAACAUUUCCAGCACCACAUCCAGCAUCUGUGGAGUGAUCAAAUGUGUUCCCCAAAUAAGAAUUGGGCCAAAAAAUUCAUCAAGAAUCUAAUAGCAGACAGAUUCCAAACCCAGUGCGCUGACCCCAGAACAGCUUUCAGUAGGAAAUGAGCAGAUCAGGAAUGAAAGAGACAAUAAAGGAACUGAGCUCUGGAUUACUUAAGAGGAGGAGGAAAACCUGUUCAGAGGCAAACAAAAGGAAGUAAAAUAAUGUGAAAAAGAAAAGGAUUUAAAAAACCCAAACUGGAAACAGGAAUGUUGCAAGCUUUCUACUACUCCAGCUGAGGCCGCAGUUGUGGGGUGGAGCCUGGGCAGACCCCAGCUGCCAAGGCAGACCUUUCCCUGGAAGGCUCCUCGGUGUUGUGGCCCCUGGGAAUUGCCCCUUACUCUCUGCCCCCUGUCCCCAGUUGGCAUGCCAUCAUCGUGGAUGGACACAGCGUGGAGGAGCUGUGCAAGGCCUUUGGCCAGGCCAAGCACCAGCCAACAGCCAUCAUUGCCAAGACCUUCAAGGGCCGAGGGAUCACGGGGGUAGAAGAUAAGGAGUCUUGGCAUGGGAAGCCCCUCCCCAAAAACAUGGCUGAGCAGAUCAUCCAGGAGAUCUACAGCCAGAUCCAGAG